GCUCCUGUGGCGCAAUGGUAGCGCGUUGGACUUCUAUGAGAAGUGCAUCCAAAGGCUGUGGGUUCGAGCCCCACCAGGAGUG